rnacentral:rRNA from 1 species
GACGAACGCUGGCGGCGUGCCUAAUACAUGCAAGUCGAGCGGAUGGAUGGGAGCUUGCUCCCUGAAGUCAGCGGCGGACGGGUGAGUAACACGUGGGCAACCUGCCCCUAAGAUCGGGAUAACUUCGGGAAACCGGAGCUAAUACCGGAUAUGAUUAUGUCUCACAUGAGACAUAAUGGAAAGACGGUUUCGGCUGUCACUUCGGGAUGGGCCCGCGGCGCAUUAGCUAGUUGGGGAGGUAACGGCUCACCAAGGCGACGAUGCGUAGCCGACCUGAGAGGGUGAUCGGCCACACUGGGACUGAGACACGGCCCAGACUCCUACGGGAGGCAGCAGUAGGGAAUCUUCCGCAAUGGACGAAAGUCUGACGGAGCAACGCCGCGUGAGUGAAGAAGGUUUUCGGAUCGUAAAACUCUGUUGUUAGGGAAGAACAAGUACCAUAGUAACUGAUGGUACCUUGACGGUACCUAACCAGAAAGCCACGGCUAACUACGUGCCAGCCGCCGCUGUAA